rnacentral:piRNA from 1 species
AAGGCAGUUUGGGGUCUUUGGAGGACCUGC